rnacentral:rRNA from 1 species
GUGCGGGUUAAUCGGACUCAACGCCGGGAAGACUCACCGGAUAAGACAGCGGAAUGAUAGCCGGGCUGAAGACUCUGCUUGACUAGCUGAGAGGAGGUGCAUGGCCGUCGUCAGUUCGUACUGUGAAGCAUCCUGUUAAGUCAGGCAACGAGCGAGACCCACGUCCACAGUUGCCAGCAUACCCUCCGGGGUGAUGGGUACACUGUGGAGACCGCCGCUGCUAAAGCGGAGGAAGGAAUGGGCAACGGUAGGUCAGUAUGCCCCGAAUCUCCCGGGCUACACGCGGGCUACAAUGGUUGGUACAAUGGGCAUCUACCCCGAAAGGGGAAGGAAAUCUCUUAAAGCCAAUCGUAAUUCGGAUUGAGGGCUGCAACUCGCCCUCAUGAAGCUGGAAUCCGUAGUAAUCGCGUUUCAACAGAACGCGGUGAAUACGUCCCUGCUCCUU